AUAAAUGAUCCAAACUUGAGCUGUUUUACGGUGAUUGGCACGGAACUUAGGUUCCGUCUAAUCUGAUUUAGGUUCCGUCUAAUCUGAUUUUUCGUGACCGUUGAUUAAAACAACCCGUAACAAUUAUUUUACUUCGACGAUCAAAACUGUACAUGCGAGUGGUUGAUUUUUUUUUUUUAUAAUCCCAUCAGUGGAUAUGGGUCAAACAUCCGUUCAAUGGAGCGCCGCCGCCACCUCUUUCAACGGAGAACCACCACGGUGUGUGGCGCUCCUCAUCGAAGGCCCUCAUGAAGACCACCCCACGCCUCCCAGAAACUGGAGAUCUCGAUCCUCCCGGCGCAGAUCCCGGCCGACGCCUGACCAAGGACUUCUCCGCGGCCAUGUCUGUUGCGCCAUCGCUCUCUACACCAGCUGGAUCGGAGUCCCAGCCACCAUAGAUGGAUCGGAGUCGGCAGCCGCUGCCCUCCUCUCCUGCGGGAUCGGACAACAUUCGUCAAGAUGCAGCCAUACAACGAGUAUCUCCUUUGUAGUUUAAAGGAAAGAGAAAAGGAAAGAGGAAUCUAAUUCAACAGUUAAGCUGCUAGUACCGUUUGGCUAUGGUGUGUUGCAGCAGAUGGCUAGCAAUUUCAGAUUUUUGUUGGGGUCAUCAUCUCUUAGUAAACUAUCCUUGUAGUGAACAAUAUAAUGUUUUGAAACAUUUUCUGGUCGUACCAUGUUGCUUCCUGGCAGACAUCUAGUUAUUGGACUGCUUUUAGUGCCCAGGUUUCUAUAGAGCGAUUAGUAUCUAGAAGCGGCAUUUAGCUUUUUGCUGAAUAGUGAAUAGGGUAGACUUGUGCAACAUGUCAGCCUUUGGAUAAUUAUUUCAAUCCUUCCUAGCUCAACUUACUUCGGCUAUACCUAGUGAUCUUGACUUUUUGUACUUGCAUACAGUGAGACAUCUAAAUGUGAAAUUUAUCUUGGUCUUGUUGAACCUUGUAGCUAGACUCUGAUAUAUUCAAUGUCUAUUUCAUUUGAUGAUUACCUGGUUCUUGUAGGUUCCAAGUAAUCAGAUCGAAGCUACCAUCUCUUUAUCCGCUCGACAGUAUAGUCAAGAAUAUUGGAAAAUAUUAUCACUGCUUGUAUUAAACAGUUAUUGCUUGACAGUAUAGUCUCUCCAUACUCUUUCUUACUCCUGGCUAGUUUUUCUUUAUGAAUGUACGUGAGUUCUUCAUAUUCAUGACAAAGAUAAUGGACCAGUUUAUUUUUAUAAUUCGAGCCUGGCUUUGGCAUCUUAAUGAUCUCAGUUCUCUUUUGUAUGUUCUAAUGAUCUUAGGAGGACCACAGGGGCCAGCAACGUGCUAGCAGGAGCACAGGCCGGCAACGCGAUGGGCUAGCAGGAGCACAGCAGCUAGCGACACGCUGAAUGAUAAUGUAGGCGGAAAUCCUAGACCUACGGAAUUGGACUUACGGGCUCACCUUACGGACAUACGUGGAAAAGUUUGGUUGGUGCAAAUCUUUGGCCCUCCUUGAUUUCCGGGUUGUAACCCCACCGGCUGCUAUCCACGUGUGUCCGUAAGUUCAAUUCUGUAAAAAUGAUGUGCUGCUAGAAUGGCCAUCUAUAGCGUGUUGAUGAUGUAGAAGUGAUGUUUUAUGCGUGUGGUUAUGAAAUGCUCACUAGAUUGCUUUGUUCACUAGAGGCUUUUGUUUUCAACUGUUGCAGCUGUUUUUAGUGUGUGUUCCAAAUUUUGAUGAGUAGUAUGUCGAAAUACAAACAAGGAUGUUAACUGC